AGAGUUUGACCCUGGCUCAGGAUGAACGCUAGCGAAAUGCCUAACACAUGCAAGUCGAACGGACCUUGCGUCGUAGCAAUACGUAGUAAGGUUAGUGGCAAACGAGCGAGUAACGCGUGCUUAACCUGCCCCGAAGUUGGGUAUAACUACAGAGAUGUAGCUAAUUCCCAAUAUGCUCACGAUGGUGAAAUCCCAAUGGGAGGAAAGAUUUAUCGCUUCGGGAGGGGGGUGCGUCCUAUCAGAUAGUUGGUGAGGUAACGGCUUACCAAGUCUAUGACGGGUAACCGGUCUGAGAUGAUGUCCGGUCGCGAUGGGACUGAGAUACGGCCCAUACUCCUACGGGAGGCAGCAGUGGGGAAUCUUGCACAAUGGACGAAAGUCUGAUGCAGCAAUUUCGCGUGAAGGAUGAAGCAUUACGGUGUGUAAACUUCUUUUUUGGCAGAAGACGAAUGACGGUAUGUCAAGAAUAAGAGACGGCUAACUACGUGCCAGCAGCCGCGGUAAUACGUAGGUCUCAAGCGUUAUCCGGAUUUACUGGGCGUAAAGUGUCCGUAAUCUGAAUUAUAAGUCUGUCUUCAAAGACCACGACUCAAUCGUGGGAAGGGGGUGGAUACUGUAAUUCUGGAAGUAUCUGGGGGUUAGUGGAAUUUCCGGUGGAGCGGUGAAAUGCGUUGAUAUCGGAAGGAACGCCGAAAGCGAAAGCAGCUAACUACAGAAUACUUGACGAUGAGGGACGACAGUUCGGGUAGCAAACAGGAUUAGAUACCCUGGUAGUCCGAACCGUAAAUUAUGCUUGCUAGAUGUUUUUGUCAAUUUAUUGGCAGGAGUGUCGUAAUCUAACGAGUUAAGCAAGUCGCCUGGGUAGUAUAUUCGCAAGAAUGAAACUCAAAGGGAUAGGCGGGGGAACACACAA
rnacentral:rRNA from 1 species